rnacentral:rRNA from 1 species
GACGAAGGGGGCUAGCGUUGUUCGGAAUUACUGGGCGUAAAGCGCGUGUAGGCGGUUGCCUAAGUCAGGGGUGAAAUCCUGGAGCUCAACUCCAGAACUGCCUUUGAUACUGGAGAGCUUGAGUCCGGAAGAGGUGAGUGGAACUCCGAGUGUAGAGGUGAAAUUCGUAGAUAUUCGGAAGAACACCAGUGGCGAAGGCCGCUCACUGGUCCGGUACUGACGCUGAGGUGCGAAAGCGUGGGGAGCAAACAGG